rnacentral:RNase_P_RNA from 1 species
GCCGCUCCCCGGACGGUCGCGGUCAGCUCAGCUUGUCUGAUUUUGAUCGAGGAAAGUCCGGACACCAUAGGGCAGCGUGCCCUGCGAAAGCGGGGGACGGCCAGUUCAAGCUGGUCGGACGGAAAGUGCAGCAGAAAACAAACCGCCUUGAUCCUUCGGGAUUGAGGUAAGGGUGAAAAGGUGGGGUAAGAGCCCACCGCUCCAAGGGUGACCGAGGAGGCACGGUAAACCCCACGCGGCGCAAGACAUAACAGGGGAAGGGUUGCCCGCCCGAUCAGGAUCCCCGGGUAUUAGUCGCACCAUCCCGCAAGGGAGGUUUUCUCUCUGUCUCCGGACAGGGUAGGAUAAGAUAAAUGACCGUCCAGCUCCAGAUUGUCUGGAGUGGACAGAAUCCGGCUUACAGGGGAGCGGCCCCC